rnacentral:rRNA from 1 species
UACGAAGGGGGCUAGCGUUGCUCGGAAUCACUGGGCGUAAAGGGUGCGUAGGCGGGUCUUUAAGUCAGGGGUGAAAUCCUGGAGCUCAACUCCAGAACUGCCUUUGAUACUGAGGAUCUUGAGUUCGGGAGAGGUGAGUGGAACUGCGAGUGUAGAGGUGAAAUUCGUAGAUAUUCGCAAGAACACCAGUGGCGAAGGCGCUCACUGGCCCGAUACUGACGCUGAGGCGCGAAAGCCAGGGGAGCCGGAACGGGAUUAAG